ACACCGUUGGUGAAGUGGUUAUCAUGCUUGCCUUCCAUGAUGCUUGCGAAAGCCAGGUUUAAGCAAGCGGCUCGGGUUCGAUUCCCGAACGGUGUA